AUUAUACCGUGAAACUGCGAAUGGCUCAUUAAAUCAGUUAUCGUUUAUUUGAUAGUACCUUACUACUUGGAUACCCGUGGUAAUUCUAGAGCUAAUACAUGCAAAAAACCCCCCGACUUCGGGAGGGGUGUAUUUAUUAGAUAAAAAACCAAUGCCCUUCGGGGCUCCUUGGUGAUUCAUAAUAACUUAACGGAUCGCAUGGCCUUGCGCCGGCGACGGUUCAUUCAAAUUUCUGCCCUAUCAACUUUCGAUGGUAAGGUAUUGGCUUACCAUGGUUUCAACGGGUAACGGAUUUUUAGGGAAAGAUCCCGGAGAGGGAGCCUGAGAAACGGGGAUACCACAUCCCAAGGAAGGCAGCAGGCGCGCAAAUUACCCAAUCCCGACACGGGGAGGUAGUGACAAUAAAUACUGAUACAGG
rnacentral:rRNA from 1 species